GAGGCUUUAGCUUAAUGAAAGCAUCUGAUUUGCAUUUGGAAGAUACAGGUUAAUGUCCUGUUGGCCUUA
rnacentral:tRNA from 2 species